rnacentral:tRNA from 1 species
GCCUGGGUGGCUCAGUCGGUGAAGUGUCUGACUUCGGCUCAGGUCAUGAUCUCCGAGGUUGGAGGUUGGUGGAUUCGAGCCCCACAUCAGGCU